GUACGAAUGCGUAAGAAUGUGUACAUAAGAACAAUAAACCCACAGCUCUGUCUGUUCCUGCUUGACCCUCAAAACUGAGCCUUGUCUCGUUCUUGGGGGGGGAUUUAUUGUAUGCUGUUCCAGUUCGACUGCUAGGAGUGUAAACCUAUUCGUAUGGUUUUUCCUAUUUGGCUGUUUACGGCAUUCAUGUGGUUUCCUGUUCGGUGGAUUGGUGUUCUGCAGUAGCUGUGCCUGUGUCUUUGGAAGGGAAGAUCUACUAAACGGCGGUUUAACCCUUUUAUGCCCGGGGUGCCGUUACAAUUGGUGGCAAGCGGCGGGAUAGUUCCUACAGCCAGAAGGACAGCUACAGGAGACACCAUUUCUUUGGAUUUUGCAAAUUGAGGGCAAUGCAUGUUUGAGUACAGCGACCCUGACAG